AAAAGCUUCACCAAUGAGUUGGCUGACGGCGCAAAUGCCUGUCAUUCUUCACAAAUAGGUUUAAAUGACUUUAACUGCAGCUUCAGUUCAAAGGCUUGAGGUCCAGACACACACUCCCUGAUUCCACCCCCACAUCCAGCUCACUUGACAUUUUGAAACUGAACUCAUUCAGCCGUGAGGUGGGAGUGAAUUUUUGGAUUUGCAUUGGACGUUACUGCACGCUUUAUCAUUUAGGGAUUAGGAGUAAGUCUUUGGGGUGAUUAUAAGUCACUGAAAGUCACUAAAAAGAGUGUUUACAUGUGUCUUGAAUGCAUCCAGAAUGGGAUACUGGUGUCUGGAGUUGGACACGGUUCCUCCAAACAAAUGGCUCCUGUCAUAUACUGUUCCCUGAGAGAGAGAGAGGGAGCUCUUAAAGCCAAACACAAGCAGAGAGGCUCACACUUAAACACACAGAAAAGGAGAGAAGACAGUCCCAUCUCCUCAUUCCUGUCUGCUCAGUGUCUGAGGCCGAACACAGCCAGUUCAUUAUUUUACUCCUCUCCAUAUCUGGAAUUUAUUUCUACUUAAAGGGUUUUCAUGCAGGGACAAACAGUGGAUUAACAGUGGGCCCAGCAGGAAAAUGGUUCCUGUUAAGCUCCUCAUUCUGGGAGCUCAGAACACUGGAAAAACAGCACUGUGUGUUCGUUUCAUAACCAAGCGCUUCAUUGGCGAAUACGACCAUAAAAAGGAGGUGACCUACAGGUGCAGUCGGGUUGUGGACCAGGAAGCAGUUGAUCUGGAGAUUUUGGACAUAGCUUGUAAGGAGAGCUCUGUGGCCUCCUUGGAGUCAUCUAUCCGCUGGGCUGAUGGUUUCCUGCUGCUUUACUCCAUCACACACCGCCUCAGCUUCCUGGAGGUCCCACAACUCAAGAAACUCAUCGACCAGACCAAACAGAGUCUGGGUAGGGAACUAAUUCACCCAUUAUCUCGCACAGUCUUUUUCUUUGUGCCCACAGUGCUAGUAGCCAAUAAGGCAGAUUUGGAGAUAGGGCGGGAGGUGACAACAGAGGAAGGACAGCGACUGGCCAAGGAUUUAAGGUGUGGUUUCAGGGAGCUGUCUGUGGCUGAAGCUGUUUCAGCUGUGGAAGCAGCUGUGUUUCAGCUCAUUAGGCUGGUGUUGGAUCAGCAGCGCCCUCUGCCCGACCGCCGCUCCUACAUGCUGACGGUUCGCCACGCUCUGACCAGGAAACUGACCCGGUCUAAGACCAUGCAGUGGUGACAGGCAACAAACAGCUAUUCCCUAGCUACAGCUGCAGCAGGACAUCUGAGAAAACUUGCUCUGAUGUUACUGCUCCUCCUAACUGUCAUAACAACGGACCUGAGCAGAUUCGAGGAGACGAGACAGCGAGGGACAGGAGAGGAUGAUGACAACAAUGAAUGAAGACGAGAGGCGAUGACAUCACAGCGGUCACCAAGGCGAUGAAAGGUCAAAACCCCAUGUCACCUCUUCGGCUAAGAAUAGAUGAUGACUCAUGCCUGCAUCAUUACACUGACAGCCAAUCAGAGAGCUGCCCGACAAGAUGUGCAUCAAUGGAUGAACAACCAAUCAGAGAGCUACUGCAUUCAAACACACAAAAACUCAAGCUUUGGGAUUCUUAUAAUUUUGUAAAAAAUCAGAUUUAUUUUAAAUACAUUAUUGUUCUAAUCUUGACUGAGGCUGUGUGUUGUGUCCAGGAGGAGGUGGACACUUCUUUACUUUCCAUAAAAGCUCACUGAUGUUUAGAUCUGCAGAUCAGUGGCAGUUUUGAAUUGAGUUUCUCCUACCUCUCCUGCAGCCAUUUGUUUCGAUUCAUUACACCACGAUUUGAAAAUCAAGUUGAUUUUAUGCUGAAGUGACAUGAAUACAAACCAGUGGCUUCCUACAAUACUGUUUAACUGCCAGCUGCCCAGAUACACAACUCUACAUGAUGCUGAUGUUGCUCUGUGUCUGCUAAAACAUUAUAAAACUGUUUACAGCUUGUUCUGCUGCUCCCAAGUAGCAAAAAAAUAUUAAAGGUACCUCAGAGUGUUUUCAUUUUAAACAAGCACAUCUGAAUACAUUUCCUACUUUAUGUAAAACAGGUAAAGACUGAAUGAUUCAUAAGCUGAGCUGUUUACUGUCGUUU